GCGGGCGCUGCGCCGCUAGCGUAGGGCCGCCUGCGCCAACUGCGUGAGCACGGCCCGCCGGGUGCUUGGCCUGGACGGUCUGGCAGGCUCACCGGGCACGGCCAGGGAAGGGGGAGGGUACGGCAUGGAGCAGGUGGAAGGAAUAGGCUGUGCGCCCGGCGUCCCGCGCUGGCCUGCGAAGUGGGCUGGAACGUUGCAGUCUCGACGGUGCCCUGAGCUUUGCGUGCUGCACCCAACCCCCGCCCCUGCCCGAGCCGCCAGGUAGUCCCGGGCUGCACCGGCGAGAGGAGGAGCCUCCGUGGCGGCAGCGCGCAGCUUCCUCUCCGCCGCAAUCUCGGCCUGGCUCGGUGGGAGGUCGGCCAACGGGAGUUUCAGUUCGAACUUAGGUGUGUGGUGCGUUGACGGGAAUGCCGGCGAGACAGUUUGCGGUUUGUCAUUUUCGCUGCCCUUUGCAGUGGUCGUCGGGGAACCCGGGCGAGGACCAACCCCCUCCCCCACCCCGCGCGGGACGCGCAGGUGGCGGCCAGGGUUCUCGGCUUGAUGGAAAGCGAAAGAAACUCAAUUUUCAGCAGACGUGCAGCCGCGGACCAAAAAGAAUAAGUUUUUUUUUUUUUUCAACGUUUUUCUCUUCCUUUGUCCUCCUCCCCCACCCCCCGCAACACGAACUACAAAUAAAACUUCAGCGUUUCCUGGAAUAUCUUGUUCACGACCUGACAUCACCGAUUUGGGAUACCCCUCUCACCUAGAGAGAGACACGGAGGGCGCGUGUCCCCUUAUACAUCUUUAUUUUUUCUUCCGCUGUUUUGGGGAAGGGCAGUGGUUUACGGGACCACAUAGAGCGAGUUUGGGGAAGGAAGCUAGGCUGUGCAGGAAAGUGCUCGAUAAUAUCAUCCUCGGCCAGUCCCUCCUUCUCCCCCCCGGCCCUGCCCCGCCCCGCCCCGCCUCUAAAUCCGAUGCCUCUAGCCGCACGUCCUUCCAAGGAGGGUCUGGCCACGGUCUGGGUUCCCUCCGCCCCGACUCCUGCAGUCCCCAAGUUGCCUAACUUGGCGUUCCGAACCCUUCCAGUCCCUGGGGCAGUCUCGGCGAUAAGAUACCAUACUUCCCAGUUGUUUCCAGAUGUUCCAAGUGAGGAAAUCUUGUCAUUUAUGGGAUAACUGGCUCCCUAAAAGGACAUUUUCAAAGGGAUGCCAGAGCACAACGAAUGCUCAUGGUGCCUGUAUGCUUCUCCUUCCAGUGCUAAAACUGAGUUGGUUGGUUAUGAAGCCUUUGCACUCCAGUCUGAAAUUACAACACUGAAGAGUAAUCCUCGCAAUAUAUUCAGUGUAUGCUGUGGACACAGCAUAUUUUUCAGCACACUCAACUGGAAUCAUCAGAGAUAGAGCAGUUGUUCAAAAAGUCUCAAGAGUUAAAAACAACAACAACAAUACAAAGAGAUGAGACCUGGUCUGAGGAACUUUGAGGAAGAAGGAAGAAUUGCCAACCUCACAGAAGGGCUUUGUUUGGAAACUGCCUCAGUCAGUUUGAACCAGAGGAGCCUUGACUUUUAAUCAACCCAGAGAAGGGAAGGACAGAGCACCUCCAUAAAGAGGAAAAAGCAGUUUUACAUGGAAUUAUCAUUAGGACUUUGUUUCAAAAUCAGCUAUAAAAAGGAUAUGUGGAUAAAAAUGAAACAUGCUAUAAAUUUAAAAAUAUAUGCACCAAAACAAUCUUGAAAAAGAACAAAAUUGAAAGACUCCUGCCUUCUGGUUUCAAAACUAACCAUAAAGCAACAAUAAUCAAGAUAUUAUGGUACUGGUAUAUGGAACAGACAUAUAGGUCAGUGGAGAUAAUCCAGACAGCCACAUGUGAAGAAUGAAGUUGGAUCCAAACCUCACAGCAGAUACAAAAAUUACCCAAAAUGGAUCAAAGGCCAAAUGUAAAGGGUAGAAUUAUAAAACUUUUGGAAGAUACCGUAGGAGUAAAUCUUUGUGAUCUUGUAUUUCAUAAUCGUUUUCUUAGAUAUCACACCGAAAGCACAAGCAGCAAAGGAAGAAACAGACAAAUUAGACUUUAUAAAAAUGAAUAACCUUUUUGUUUCACAGGAUACUAUCAAGAAAUUGAAGGGACAGCCCCGAGAAGGAACUUGUAUCUAGAAUAUGUAAAGAAUUUUUACAGCACAAUAAUAAAAAGACAACCCAAUUUGGAAAGAGGCUAAGGAUUGGAAUAAACAUUUCUCCAAGGAAGAUAUACAAGUGGUUACUGAGCACAUGAAAAGAUGCCUAACAGUAACUAUGAGGAAAAGACAAAUAAAAAGCACAGUGAGGAGGUGUUUGUCUGGCUCAGACAUUAGGGCAUGCGAUUCUUGACCUCGGGGUUGUGAGUGUGUGCCCCAUGCUGGGUGUAGAGAUUACUUAAAAAUAAAAUCUUUUUUUUUUUUUAAAAAAAGCACAAUGAAAUACCACUUAUUACCUACUGAUGGUUAUUAAUAAAAACGACAGAAAAUGGCAAGUGUUGGUGAGAUUGUGGAGACAUUGCUGUGCAAAUGUAAAAUGGAGCAGCCACCCUGAAAGUGUGGCAACUCCUCAGAAUGUUACACAUGGAGUUACCAUACGACCCUGCAAUUCCACUCCCAGUUGUAUAUCUGAAAGAACCAAAAACAUAGUCUACAGAAAGACUUGUACAUGGGUGAUCAUAGCAGUAUUAUUUGUAAGAGCCCAAAUGUUCAUCAACUGAUGAAUGGCUAAAACAAAAUAUGACCAUACAAUGAAAUAUUAGCCAGCCAUAAAAAAGG